CAGUCGCCGCGGUAAUACGAAGGGGGCUAGCGUUGUUCGGAAUUACUGGGCGUAAAGCGCACGUAGGCGGAUACUUAAGUCAGGGGUGAAAUCCCGGGGCUCAACCCCGGAACUGCCUUUGAUACUGGGUAUCUCGAGUCCGGAAGGGGUGAGUGGAAUUCCGAGUGUAGAGGUGAAAUUCGUAGAUAUUCGGAGGAACACCAGUGGCGAAGGCGGCUCACUGGUCCGGUACUGACGCUGAGGUGCGAAAGCGUGGGGAGCAAACAGGAUUAGAUACCCGUGUAUCCCUGUCUCUUAUACA
rnacentral:rRNA from 1 species